GCCUAAUGCCACAGGGGCACUGCACCAACAGCAGGGCACAAAAGGGGGCUGAAGGACAAGAAGGGCACAGCUUGCAGCCUCCUGAAGUGGUCUGGUGCUACUCUGCAUGGGCUGAAGCCUUGUGAAAUUGUGUGGGGACACUCUGGGGAUUGUGGCCGUCUGAACCGUCUGCUACACCUUCCCAGCAGGGAUUUCCCCAGAAGAAGAGAAGAAGCGUUGUGCUGACCAUGCACGAGGAAGACAAUCCUGUUGCUAAUGGAUACAGGAUAAAGAGUGAGGUGAUAUUUGUUCAGCUGAGUCACUUGCAGCCAGAGAGCUAAGUGCAAGUGAUUUGCUGAAAGCUGUGUGAACUGGUAUUUUGGAUAAAGCUGGAAAUGCAGCACCUAUCCCCAUGCCUCUGGAAAAUUCAUCCUUGGGCAAUUUGGAGGGAUGCUGACAGCAGCUGAUGAACAUUUGGCACAGCUCAAGAGCAGAAGAGGUGACAAAGGUGGCAAUCUCCUUCCCACCUGGCUGGGGGCAGUUCAGGUGCACCACCUGCCAGCAGCUCCAGUGCUCCAGGCAGCCCCUCCUUGUCUUUGGAUUCAUCUGGAUUUGAAAGGUUGGUUUUUAUUUUUGCUUCGGUUUUGUUUGCAAGUGCAAGAAUAUUGGCCGGGGGCACCAUAUGUAGAAGCCGCUACCCAGAAAAGCCUCUGAGUUCCACAGAAAUAUCUAGGGAUGGGUGUCUGUUUUACUGGCAAAUUUGAAGGAGAUACAUUACCAACGAUAGCCUAAGCACAUCUCCACAAUCAGAAUUUAAUUGAAGUGUGUUACCUAUAAUAGGUUCAGAUAUUUGUGUUCUUCAGCAUUUUAUAAAUUCAGAAACAGAUGGGCUAUGACCAGGAAGCAGUGGAGAACAGACUGGCGUAAAGCAGGUUGGCUCUCUGACAAGUGCAGGUACAGCUGUGGUAUGUGUUUUAUUCAGCAUGCCCACCUACUGUAUCAGCAGCCUGCCCCACCAGCAAUUCAACUACAACUGACUUAAUGAAGAGUAGAAGUAAGCAUGAAUCCAGACUUUCCAUGGAUCAUAAUAUCUGAGAACCCAGAAGGAUCAACAUGACGGAAAUCACGCCAAGUAAUUUUUUUCCCCUUGUAUCUUUAUGUACAAGAAAUAACAAAAGCAUUUGAAUUUUGAAGAAGGGGGAAAAGCCCCACAAAAUGUAGUCAGUUUGCAGUAUGUUCACACAUUUCCCUUUUGGUCUUUCUCUCUUUUUUUUUUUUUAAUUAAAGGAAGAAAAUCUUAGGAAGUAGUAGAUGAUAUCUUAAAUCACCACAAUUGUGCCAAGGGACAUGAUGAAGUGCUGGCUAGGAAGGCUUCUGUUAGUAAAAUACAAUUUAUAUGGGUCAGUGUUUGAAGGUUUCAUGCAAGAAGUGUGCAAAGGGUUUUUGCUCCUGUUUGUGCCAAUCCUUGCAAGCCCCAUAGGGAAAAACACUGUGGCUGAAGAGGUCGUGGAAAAGAAUCCUUGAUCUGAACAUUCCCAUUCCUCAGUUGGGAAUGUGGUAUUUUCUAUUUUAUGCAUUUAAAAGAGGGGCCUCUCUUUGUCUUUUGACAUUCCUCAUACAUGAAUAAUCUCCUAUUUAGGUUUAUUGUACUUCUUUAUCUCUGUUUCUAUAUCUAUCUAACAUCAUAUAUUCUAACCUGCAGUCACCUACAGUAACCCACAAAGGGAAUUUGGAAAAACAACAACCCAUAAUUAUUUUAUAUGGUGAUUGUGUGACUUGAAACAUUGAGGUAAUUAUCAAGUUAAAUUCCUAUGAUCCCUGCAAUUUCUAUGAAACCUGGAGAUGUCAGUACCUGAGUUCUGGCAUAUCUCUUAAAGUAAAAUUAUACCACCUCAGCCUGAGGUCGUAAUUAAAGAUGUAACGAAGCUAAGUGAAAAGGGGCUGUAUGAUUUAAAUUGAAAGCAGAACAAGCCCCAUAAUUGUAGAGGGUGAAAAAUUAAGUGAUCUGGCCAUAAACUCCAGCCUUCAGGGGCCACAUGCAAUGGGCAAGGCUCUGUUUGAUGCAGCUGGACACAGGCAAAGGGUGUGGUACCAGGAAAGAACCCUAGGAGCACUUGCUUUGGAAAGGGAAUGGCUUCUUCCAGGAUGCAGUAAGAUUUGGGAAAAGCCUAAAUGAGAGGGGGAUUUAUGCAUAUAGCUCUACUGGGACUUUUGUUUGGGAGGUAAAGCUUUGGUCUCCAAAGUGAGACUGUGGAAUGUGUUGGCAUAAAUUACCUUUAUUGGUAUCUGGAUUUCUCAGAAAAACUUUAAAACCCAGCUGAAAAGGAUUUUUGAGAGUUCUGAUGGGCAGGAGAAAAUGCAACCUCAUCUCUAUGUCUGUGUGUAGACAUAUAUGUGGACUCGUGCUUACAUCUGAAAACCUGGGAGACUGGUGUGGUUUUGAAGAACAUUCCACAGCCUUAUUUUAAGGGCUCUUCCUUUGUUGUGGCACAGGGGCUGUAGCAGUGGAAGCCAUCAGGGUUCAGAUGGCAGAGACAUACUGGGAGUGCCACUUCAAGACAGCCAAACAAAGAGGAAUUCAGUUUCCAGUGCACUUGUGCUGGCUGAGCUGUACAUGCCACAUAUCUUGCUUACAUCUUGGACUCUCUAAGGUUUUCUUUUCUCUCCUUCUCUUGUCCAAGCUUCACAUUUAACCUUUGAGGCAGUUUUGAAUAUAUCCCUUCGUAAUCGUAGUCCAGCAGCACUAACCUCAGGCAGCUCUUUAGUGUUUUUGACUCCCUUCUCACACUGCUUCUCCUCAGGCUUCUGCUGGUCAUUCUCAUUUCUCUCCUGAUGAUUUUGUCACUUCUCUUCAAUGUAAAACUCAGGGGAUCUAUGAGACUGCACGCUGCAACUGUGUUUGUGAUGUUGGGGCCUCUGCCUGAUGCUACACUUCGCUUCAUUUACCUUUCUCAUUUCAUUGCUUUCCCCAUGUUCCAGCAGCACUGCCUGCCCCCUGCUACUACUAUAGGGCUGACAUACUGUCCAUCAGCUCCUGUCCCCUCCAGCCUCCACCAAAAUAUGGUACCUUUCAUGUUGGUGACUCCCUCAAACACACUAAAUCCUCUGUGUCCUCUAGAAUUUUUUCCGUUUGGUUUUAAAUGUCCCCUAGCUGUUCUGAUGCUGCAAAAACACCUCUGGACCUACCGAUCCUUCACAAGCUUUUUAAAACCCUUCUCUGGUAUUUCUUCUGUCAGCAUUUUUACAGCAUUUCAAGACUAGUUGGUGUCACAAAAGUGAAGAAUAUUUCACAGUGAGAGUAAAAUACUACAGUCAGUUCCAUACAGGCUUAGUUCUGAGAAGUCACUUAAGUGAAGUGUGAUGUUGAAGGAAGGAAAAAGUGAUAGCUCAAGGAGAUUUGUCCAGAAACAAAAAUGUACCUAAGCUGUACCUCAAUUUAUUUU